GUUCGCCUCUUACAGCAUAUUGGACCUUCUUCACAUUUUCAUUCAGUGACUCGUAGUCUAAUGCCUUUGGAGACAUGAUGAAUCAGCAGCCUUCUUACAAAUCUCACCCCAACACAAAAGAGGUAAAACAGUACCUGUGAACUAGGCUUUGAGUUUUCCGUACGAGAGGCCGGCUAGCUCGUAGAGUCACUGCAUGUGCUGUUCCUAAGGAACACAGAGAUACGCACGCACAAGUUUGGAAUGCUACUGUGUUCCCUCUGA